CGGCGUGUAGCGCAGCCUGGUAGCGCACUUGCAUGGGGUGCAAGGGGUCGCGAGUUCGAAUCCCGCCUCGCCGA
rnacentral:tRNA from 1 species